AUCUCAUAUAAACUAAACAACAAGUUCUUAAAUCGAUUCAUGGGAGGAUAAAAUCAAACAAGUGGAAGUAUCAUUAAGAUCUUUUUUGUACUUCCUAUUGAUGGUGCUUCAUAGUAACUUAUCCAAACAUUU
rfam:Helianthus annuus linkage group 17, whole genome shotgun sequence.